CUGAAUUCAAGUUCUGAUUAUAAUUACCCUUAUUAUUAUUCUCAGAAUGUUCUUUGGAACCAACAUGGUUUUUAGGGAAGAAAAUUAAUUGCAGCUUUUCUUGGUUUAGAAAUGUAGGCAACCGGAUAUUCUGGCAAAUUCACGUCCUGUCUUCCUCCCAUGCAUAGAUAACAGACUUUCUCUUUCUAUCUCUCUAUCCAGUUUUCCAGUCAGGGUAUUUUUUCAGGAGGAUAUUAUGGAAUUCUGCAUAUUGUAAUUGUUUUUAAAGUCAUAAGAAAAUCAAGAACAAGUCAGCCAGAGAAACAGUAAGACCACAAUCAUCUCCCCAGAGACCUUUGUUUUUAGGUUUUAAUAUUUCAUGUCAUACUUUUCAUGAAGUGAAUCCUAUAAAAAUAAUGAAGGAUAUACGGAGAUCAUUACAAUAAAGGAUACAUAUCAAAUAUGGAUUUUUUAUUUUAAGGAGGCAAUUUAAUUAUAUCCAGAUGGAACAUUUAAAAAGUCACAUCUAUGCAUCAUCAUCUUUCAGCAGUAGCACAGAUGGUACCUUUUCAUUUGUACCACGUGCCAACAUCGGCAGUGUGUCCAGCCGUCUACCCCGCCUCCAUCACAAUUCCAAGUUUAUGUGUAAAAGGACAUGUUGGUUAAGUCAGAGACCCGUGGGAAACUGCAUUAUCAGGGGCCGUGACAUUACUAUUUUGUAGUAUUUCCUUCUUGAGGGAAGCAGAUGGGGUUGCCAGACCUUGACUUUUGUUUGCUGCUCUUGAGUAAGGUGCCCCAAGGCUUUUUGCCCCAUCCGGGAGACAGGCCACAGAUCUGCAGUGAUAGAGAGAACCAUGCAACAUCUGCAGACCUUCUGUUAAAAGCCCUUGUUUGUUUAAUAUUCUGUUUCCUUGCUAUUUAUGUUUCUAGAAAUUAGGGAGAGGCUUAUCCCUUCAUGUCCCAAAUAAAGUUAAAAAUGAUGACUGAUGUCAUCAAGGGCCCUACAGCUGAUGAGAAACAAACAGACCCAUAAAACCAAACAGAGUGGAAACACAUCAUCACCAGCACCACCAGCAGGACCACAUCACCCCC
rnacentral:lncRNA from 1 species